GGGCUGGGGUGGGGGGGGCGGGGUGGCUGGGGAGCCGGCGGCCGGCCGGCCGGGCGCGCUCGGCCCGGCCCGGAGGCGGGGGGCCGGUGGGCUGCUCUCGGCCCGGUGCUCGCUGGCGCCCGGCUCCCGGCUGCGCCCGGCUCCGCGAUCCCGCGCCGACUGCGGCGGCCGCCCUCCGCUCGGCGGCGGGGCUUUCAGACACAAUUUGAAGUUGAUGCUUUGAUUGGCAUCCCCUCGAGCGCUGGCCCCGCCCCCGGCUCCCCUCCCGCCCCUUCCCUGCCUCCCGCCCGCCCCAGCCGGGCCGCUCCCGCCCCUCCCGGCGAGCACGUGGUGUGCUCCGCGCCGUCCGGGCCACCUCCGCCCGCUGUGGGCGCGCGAGCGGCCCGGCGGCGGGUGCGGGCCCGGCGGCCGCGGGCUGCCCGACAACCUGUCGACACCGGCUCGCAGCUGUCGGACCCUGGGCUCUGCUGUUUUCCAAGCCGAGCUGUGACUGCUCUUUCAGGAAGACGUCUCGGCGCCUGAUUCUCCGCCGUUGGGGCGGCGGGGCCGGGACUGGGCGGGUGACAGCCGGUGUGUGGGGGGGGGGGUGGGGAGGGGAGGGGGACGGCCCUCUCCUCCCCACCCCCGCCCCCAAGGCCGGCGCUGCCUUGGCCUCCCCCGGACCCCUGGGCAGAAGUGCACCCCGGUGCCCUGGCUGCGCCACCGAGCCUGGCGUGACACCGUGACGCGGGCGUGGCGUCCGCGUGGCCCCCGCCCGGCAGUGACCGGCCUCGCUGCACCUGGAGAAGCGGGAAGCGGCCGAGCUCUGUGGGCUUCUCCGUUCGUGAAAACUUUGAGAAAGGGCAGCUGAGAAGCCAGUUCAAGGGGACAAACAGAUGCCGUCCACAGUGACAGGUGCGCACAGGUGGGAAGCAAACUUGCGCGAAGAGCGCCGGCCCGAGGCGGCGGCGCCGCGAGCCCGGGGACAGGCCGUCCCUCCUCCCCUGCCCGGCCUCUUCAUCCUCGGCCCCGCGGGAAGAACAAGCAGCGAACCGCUGCGGGAUGGCUCCAGGUCCGCGCGCGGCCCUCCUGGCCUCCCGGUGCACGGGACGGGUCCGCCAGCCCGCGUCUGCCACACGCUCGCCGGCUCCGUCCUGGCGUCCCGCCUAGGGAGUUGCCCAGGGUGCUCGCCCCCGUUCCCGGGGACACUUUUCGUCCUGUCUCCUAUGAAGCAGCAGGAGCCUGGCGCGCACUCCCCUCUGUGGCGCACGGACACACUGGACCCCACAGCAAUUUCACCCCAACACUUGGGGUCACUAACUGGCACCUGCCAGACCUCUCUCCCUGCAUCCCAAACAAAUGGAUGGGCCACCCCACUACUGUCUUGUUUGGCAAACUCCAGUGUCACAUUUCAGGCCGACAGGUAAAUACAGGUGACAUAAGCCCUCUUCUGUGACCUGGAGAGCAGGUGGAAUUGUAAGCCCAGAGACACGUGUCAGUGUCAGGAUUCAGCCACACGGACUGAUCGCCUCCGUAUCACUCCCCCCCCCCAAGCAGCCCACUUCAGUUGUACUGAAGCCAUCAGAACCUGGGGGGCAGGGGGCAGCAGACUUUGUCCCGACCCCUGUGUCCUGCUGUGCCCUCCCUGUAUCACCUCCAUUUGGGUUAUGAAAUGAUAGUUGGUUCUAGAAGACAUCAGGGAGGUGAGUGGGAAGGGGCCUCUAGAAAGGCCUGUUGACUUCCCCCAGGAAGCUCUAGAAAGGUGCCCUAGUGGUGACUGUGACCAUUCCCCAGCCAGGGCCAGGGCUGGACCCCAGCAGAAACUGGGCCUGAUCCCUGGAUCACCCCCUCCCUUCCUUCUCCUUGAGUUUACCCAAAAAUUUGCAAGGGGAAGACUAGGAAACAACCUGGACAAAAGGAGGAGGGGGAGAGGAAGAAGAAAAAGAAAACUGCCUCCAAACCGUCCCAGUGGAGAGGAAGCUAGACAGGGAAGGAUCCAGAACUUCCUGCCUCAGCAUCCCCAUGGGGAGUGUCAUCUCUUCAGCCAGGACCCAGGAAGCCGCCCUGCUCGGCGACGGCGAGGCGAGUGGGAGCAAUCCCAGGCAGCGGCCGAGAAGCGCCCAGGACCGCGGGGGCCGUAACCGGGUGCCCUUGGGCGCCAGGCGGGGACCGGAGCGGGGCGGCUGCGGCGAUCCCCGUGCCCUGAGGGCCUGGCCUGCUCUCUGCUGCCGCGUCAGGGCCGGGCCUGCGCCGGGUCAAGAGCGGCACCUGUGAGCGCCCCGAAAGCGAGGGCCUGGGGACCUCACUGCGGAUGUGCUGCGGUGGGACCAGAGCGGGGCCGGCGGGAGGCGACUCCGAGAGACUCCAGGAAGACCCGGGAAAGAAAACACCCGGAAGGCGCCCCGGGAUGGUCUGAGGCCCAGGGCAGUGCCCGCAGAGCAGGUGCCAGGAUGCAGCCGGGGCUCGGGUCCCCGGACUGUGGCGGCGGGAGACCAGCGGCCCAGCGCGCGGAGCUCCGGGACCGGCGGCCGGAGGAGAAGAACGGCCCGCAGUCACCUGGCCUGGCGUGCGAUGUCGCCGUCCCCGAGCGUCGGAGGAAGUGAAUUACAUGCGUGUGAACACACGUAAAUAUUUUAUAAGCCUCCCCUUAAUUAACCAAAUCGUUUCCAUUAUGCCUCCAAUGUGAUCAACAGCAGCGGUGCGAGGGUUUUCAGGGUUUAUAAUUCGAUGUCACCAGACGGUCGCUCGGGGGCAGAGGCACAAUCGCAGAGCCAGCUGCACUUGUAUUUACUUGUUUUUCUACCGAGUUCCUGUAGGGCUCCAUUAUGCAGUUUUUAAUUAGUUUGUGUUUGUAUUUCACCCGUCCCAAAUCAAUGCCAUCCCGGAGCAAGGCGAUGUAAAUUCUCGCAGUACAGGUGUAGCUGCUGGCUUGGGAACACUCGGAAACACGCGUCUGACAAAUGAGAGCGGGCGCCACACAGCCCACUGUCGGCUCCUGGCAGCCAAGAGGCGCAGACCAAAGCCAGCGGGGACUUCUGCGCCCCUGUGAGCGCCAAGCCCACGUGCUGGGUUCCUAAUUCCAGUAGAGGGAGCCGCACAGAGCACGGCGUGGGGGGCAAAGUGACUUUUCAUUUUGCCCGAGUCCUGCGGUCCUUGGGCCUAGUGGGCGAGGCUGGAGCCCGCGUGCAAUUAAUCUAGCUCCCCCGGAAGAUCACUGUGGCCCCUGUCGGGUUCCGUGGAGCCUUUUAACAGGACCCAAGGCAGACAGCCCGAAUUUCUGGAAUCUCCCGGCAUGAGGACCGCCUCCCCACACCCCCGCCCCCUUGUGCUGGCUGUCUCUUCCUUCUUGAAAUGACCUCUGUGGAGUGCCUGUAAAUCUAUCCCUCCAGCCACGGGGGAAUUCUUUUAAAGCUUUCUUUUUUGUCAGGAAUAAGAGAUUGUUCAUCUUUAACUAGACCACAUAGAAAUUAUGAUUCAACAGCAGUGUGUAUUUAAUUAGAGUAAUCUCACUUGAAUUUAAUUACCUAAUGAAUUAUUUGUUUAAAAGGUAGAAUGUCUUGUUUGCCAAGUGCGGUGCAGACCUCCGAUAAGAACUUCUGUUAUAAGGACAUUACAGCUUAAAAGCAGUCAUGUGUUAAGGUUUAUAUUUUAACUCCUUGAGUGUGUAACUGUUAACUGUUAAUGUGCCACUCGCACAAAAACUCUGAUACGGAAGGAUGCCGGGAGAGCACACACAGAUUCUGUUCUGUGCCCACAUCCUUUUGGAAAUUAGCAAUCCUCUACCUUGCCACCUGAGCCUAUUUUUAAACUUCCUGCAUUUUGCUUUCAGUGGCACUUUCCUUUUUUCUGCUGCACGAUGACAGCUGUCUAUUAGAGGGCUCAUUUUAUGAUUAGUAUUUGCAAUGAAGGGCACAUCCUUCAGCAAAACUCCCGCCCAGCUCCACUGUGUCCCAGAGGCACCCACAAUAGCAGCAGGAAGCCGUUCUGGGCUCAUCAAACCUCAUGGGAAUGGAAGGUACCGAGGCCCAGACUUUGACCUUAACCCUUCAUUCCUAAACCAUGGAAGAAUCUCCUUGCCUCUUGGUUUCCAAAAGCAAGAGCCCAGAACUCCAGGCCACGCCACCCUUUCUGGGAGGCUCACAAGUUGACUUGUCUCUCGGUAAUGCUAACGAUUUUUGCAGCUAAUGCCGAGUUCGAAAUCCCAGCCAAGGGAGGAGGGUGACGUGCUGGAAGUCUAACAUGAUUUCUGUGUUUUUCUAUGGCUAAGUGGCUACAGGAGCAGACUGCUUCUCCUCCUCUAUCCCGUGUGAUGGACAGAAUCGUCUGUCCCUGUGUGAUGGAAUUUCAGCAGAGGAAUGAAUGGAUAGGGUGAGGGAGGCAGCAGGAAAUGUUUCGCCCACUCACUGAAGAGAGACCAGGAAAUAGGAACGCCUGAAAUCUGCUGGAUUGAAUUCCACUGUCAUUUUCAUUAAUAUUUCAUCAAUCAAAUAAUUUAUUUUAAUUGCAGAUUCGGGCACUAUUAUCACAUAAAUAUUAAAUAGUAUUAAUAUAGUGUCCAUCUAAGUAGGAACGAGCUUAUAAGAAAGUACAACACGUUGAUAAGAAUUGUUAAUUUCUUGUUUCUUUCCUGUAUCCCUGAUGUGUAUCAUAACUGUGCAUUUUGCAGUUGGGUGUCCCAACAACCAAUAGUGGUUAAAUUGUAACAUAAAUUUGGGACUCUUG